rnacentral:rRNA from 1 species
CCUACGGGAGGCAGCAGUGAGGAAUAUUGGUCAAUGGACGAGAGUCUGAACCAGCCAAGUAGCGUGAAGGAUGACUGCCCUAUGGGUUGUAAACUUCUUUUAUAUGGGAAUAAAAUGUUCCACGUGUGGGAUUUUGUAUGUACCAUAUGAAUAAGGAUCGGCUAACUCCGUGCCAGCAGCCGCGGUAAUACGGAGGAUCCGAGCGUUAUCCGGAUUUAUUGGGUUUAAAGGGAGCGUAGGUGGAUUGUUAAGUCAGUUGUGAAAGUUUACGGCUCAACCGUAAAAUUGCAGUUGAAACUGGCAGUCUUGAGGACAGUAGAGGUGGGCGGAAUUCGUGGUGUAGCGGUGAAAUGCUUAGAUAUCACGAAGAACUCCGAUUGCGAAGGCAGUUCACUGGACUGCAACUGACACUGAGGCUCGAAAGUGUGGGUAUCAAACAGGAUUAGAUACCCUGGGAGUC